UACGGAGGGGGCGAGCGUUAUUCGGAAUUAUUGGGCGUAAAGGGCGCGUAGGCGGCGCGAUAAGUCAAAGGUGAAAUCCCUCGGCUCAACUGAGGAACUGCCUUUGAGACUGUCGAGCUUGAGGCCGGGGAGGGGGUAGCGGAAUUCCCAGUGUAGCGGUGAAAUGCGUAGAUAUUGGGAGGAACACCAGUGGCGAAGGCGGCUACCUGGACCGGUUCUGACGCUGAUGCGCGAAAGCGUGGGUAGCAAACAGG
rnacentral:rRNA from 1 species